rnacentral:misc_RNA from 1 species
AUGCGCGGUAUAAAUUAGGAAUGUUUAUUUGGGACACAAGGCCUUAAAAGCGGAGGUCUAGUACUACACGUUGGGUCUUCCCGCUCAUCGCCGAUUUUUUUCAUCUCACACAGACCGUGAGUGACCCAGGUCACAUCAGGACAGGUCAAGGCAGGCGCUGCUGUGGAUCCGCGGUGGAGACUGUGGACUUGUGACCUGACACACCAUCAUGCCUUUCAAUUCUCGCAGCAAAGUUUACAUUCUGGGAUAUGCAGGCGUUGUCCUGGCAACCGUCGUUGGUUCCAUUGGACUGGGCGCUCCGGGCUGGUUCAUCGCAAGAAGUGACAUCAGCGAGUUGUUGACGGGUCUGUGGCAAGUUUGUGUCCAAGGUUUUUUGGUUUCCAGAGAAGUUCGUCUGUACUUACAUUGACUACGAAUCAUUAGACAAUUACCAAAAGGCCACCCAGGCUAUGGCGUGUAUUGGGGUGGCCCUCCUGAUUGCGUCUACUGUGUACGGACUGUUUGUCAAUGUAGUAUCCACAAAUUCGCCAUCGUCACCUUACGUUGAGAUCCUUGCCUUGUUGGGUGGUGUGAGCCUUUUUAUCGGCUGCAUGGUAUGGGUAGGUUAUAAGUACAACUUUUACUCCGAUCCAGGGGUCAGUUUGGGUUACGCCAUGAUAAUCUCUACUAUUGGCUCUGUCCUCGCUAUUCAGGCUUCUGUGUGUGUGGCAGUAGGAAGCCGGAGAAAUGGAUCCUACCAGCAAAUUCAAUAACAGUGUCACAAAAAUACACUACAAAGAAGUCUGCAAACUGUGCAAGCCUGUAAACCAGCAUUUCUGAAAAGGGUUUGAGAAGUGGACUCAGAUCAUCGUGAUGAUUGCAGAUCUGGCUUUUGUUCUUCGUGGAGGGCCCUAAGGUACGAUAACUCAGUGACCUUUCCGAAGACAGCCGAGUUGUUGGCCUUUUAUGGAGGCGUUCUUAGUUUCAUCGGCGCCGUUAUCUACGCUGUAAACACGAAGAGACUUGACGACACUGCCUAUGGUUUCGGGUUUUUCCUGGUCGCGGCGGCCGCCAUUGUGGGAGUGGCUGGAGGACUGGUGGUGGCCAAUCAGAACUGGACUGAGUGGAUAAAGGACCAAUCGUUGAGCAGCGAGGUCAACCACGGGGGCGCACUGGCAGAAUUCAACAUAUCCAGGCUGCAGAAGAUGAAUUCUAUUAAACCGAAGUAGGGGAGAGCAUUCACGCAGUUCUAAAAACUGUUAUAGUCAAGAAUUGCGAUGACUUUGUUCCUUCCAUUUCUCUCCUUCUGUCUGAAUAAUUUCUGUGUUUCGGUCCCACUUUUCAUUGUGUUCCGCACUUGUAUGUAAGUCUUGCUGGUUUUAAGUCCCAUCUCUCUCUCUCCGUACGCGUACAAAAUGCAAUUGUUUGUCAUUAUCAUUCCAGUGCUACUCGUUGAUUGCUAGACGUGUCGACAUUUUGAUGAUCAUUGUAUUCUACAUCCCAUGUUUCCAACACAGCUCUAAACAAUGUCCCUACCUAGGAUUUAAUGUUACCAACGCUGGGCAGCUGAAGUCUUUAAGAAUGAGUCGUUCUACUGUUAUACCAUUGAUGUCAGAAAUUAAUCCGGUGUAUAUAUAAUAUAAAUAUAGAAAUAAAUAUCUAAUUCUGCAUUGGGAGUGUGUACUCUGUACUAUAUAGCUUCAGUUAGAAGGAAUGUUUGAAGGUUUAUGUCAGUACUUCCUUACACAGAAUAGUUUCUUCUUCCCAAUUUGACAGCUCAGUCAAGUAUUAUCUGCCUUCUUAAUUAGAAACAUGGC